rnacentral:rRNA from 1 species
UACAGAGGUCCCAAGCGUUGUUCGGAUUCACUGGGCGUAAGGGGUGCGCAGGUGGUCGGGUAAGUCUGACGUGAAAUCCCGCAGCUUAACUGCGGAAUGGCAUUGGAUACUAUUCGGCUAGAGGGUUGGAGGGGGGACUGGAAUUCUCGGUGUAGCAGUGAAAUGCGUAGAUAUCGAGAGGAACACCAGUGGCGAAGGCGAGUCCCUGGACAACUCCUGACGCUGAGGCACGAAGGCCAGGGGAGCAAACGGG